AGAGAAGGGUUGCCUUGAGGGGCCGCUGCCUCUAACCAGGACUUUGCAUGACCAGGAGGCAGAGGCCCCUCAUAGGCGGCCUCUUACUCU
rnacentral:pre_miRNA from 17 species